CAGAGGGGGCUAGCGUUGUUCGGAAUUACUGGGCGUAAAGGGCGCGUAGGUGGCCUGUUAAGUCGAACGUGAAAUCCCCGGGCUCAACCCGGGAACUGCGUCCGAGACUGGCAGGCUCGAAUCCGGGAGAGGGAUGUGGAAUUCCAGGUGUAGCGGUGAAAUGCGUAGAUAUCUGGAGGAACACCGGUGGCGGAGGCGGCAUCCUGGACCGGUAUUGACGCUGAGGCGCGAAAGCCAGGGGAGCAAAACGGGAUUAGAUACCCCGGUAGUCCUGGCCCUAAACGAUGAAUGCUUGGUGUGGCGGGUAUCGAUCCCUGCCGUGCCGAAGCUAACGCAUUAAGCAUUCCGCCUGGGGAGCACGGUCGCAAGGCUG
rnacentral:rRNA from 1 species